GUUGGGGUUUAACAUGUUAGCAGGAUCCUAAUCCUUCCCCUAACCUGUAACAGUGGUAUAACAGUAUAACAUAAGAACGAACUAUAAAAAUCUGUUGAAAAAGGCUUAACUCAUCAGAUGGACAAAAAUACAAGUGGAACUGUGUAAGGUUCUUCCCAAAAUCCACUUACUGAUAUCAUUAUCACAGUUAUGGGGGAAAUAUGACUCGGGAAAUG
rnacentral:lncRNA from 1 species